rnacentral:tRNA from 1 species
GGCUCUGUGGCGCAAUGGAUAGCGCAUUGGACUUCUAGUCGAGUUGAAGCGAUUCAAAGGUUGUGGGUUCGAGUCCCACCAGAGUCA